CUGCCAAAGCCCACGGCUGGCCAGAGCAGUUCAACCGUUGGUUGGCUGAUUACAUUGAUUGAUGUGCUAAUUGACCAAUGUAAGAACCAUAUGUAUGUAAAUAGGCGUUCCAUGUUCGUCUCAAGCCUAACUAACUUGACAACAUGGUGUCACCGGGGUAGGAUUGUUAUCCUAGCAGUGGAACAGAAAAACAAGUUUAGUACAAGAAAAAGGGCAGACCGCUCGUCGAAAUCGCAAACCGAACUACUCCGGGUUUUGGACUUUUUGUCGCUAAGAGUGUGUUUUGUUCAUUGGAAUCUUAUGAUAAAAACGAUGUCCGGCUAUGGUCACUUGGAUGCAAACAACCUGGAAAGAGAGAACUCGUGGAAAACCUCCCAGAACAAUCUGACUGUUGGAUGAGUGGCUGUGUAUUCCCCUUUGUAAACAGCAUUCUGCAAAAAAGAGACAGGAGAUGUGUUGUAGUUGUUGUUGCCGACCACCAUGGCCAUCAGCUCGGACGGCUGGAACAGCGAAAGGAUCUCCCCCCCGCACACCUUCAGGAAACC